ACAACAACAUUCGGACCGUCGGUCUACCGAGCAAUAUCACCCGCUCGGUGGAAGAUCUUCCCUCUGUCGUAUGCC
rnacentral:pre_miRNA from 1 species